rnacentral:rRNA from 1 species
CCUACGGGAGGCAGCAGUGGGGAAUAUUGGACAAUGGGGGCAACCCUGAUCCAGCAAUUCUGUGUGCACGAAGAAGGUUUUCGGAUCGUAAAGUGCUUUCAGCAGGGAGGAAGGAAGUGACUGUACCUGCAGAAGAAGCGACGGCUAAAUACGUGCCAGCAGCCGCGGUAAUACGUAUGUCGCGAGCGUUAUCCGGAAUUAUUGGGCAUGAAGGGCAUCUAGGCGGCCGGGUAAGUCCGGGGUGAAAACUGCUGGCUCAACCAGCAGCCUGCCUUGGAAACUACCCGGCUUGAGUGCUGGAGAGGUGGACGGAACUGCACGAGUAGAGGUGAAAUUCGUAGAUAUGUGCAGGAAUGCCGAUGAUGAAGAUAGUUCACUGGACGGCAACUGACGCUGAAGUGCGAAAGCUAGGGGAGCGAACAGGAUUAGAUACCCUGGUAGUCCCAGCCGUAAACGAUGAUUACUGGGUGUGGGCAUGAAGAGUGUCCGUGCCGAAGCAAAUGCGAUAAGUAAUCCGCCUGGGGAGUACGGCCGCAAGGCUGAAACUCAAAGGAAUUGACGG